rnacentral:tRNA from 1 species
GGGGCUGUAGCUAAGUGGUAGAGCACUUGCCUUGCAUGCGUGAGACUCUGGGUUCGAACCCCAGCACCA